UUUACUAAGGUCUAAAAGGACACAUUUAAAACAAAAGAAAGGAUUCACAACAUUUUUCACUAAGGACCUUGAAUUUGAGCACUGGAGCAGUGGUUGCUUAUGAUUUCAAGGGUAGAAAUAGAAAAUACCAGGUAGAGGACACAUAGUUGGGGGAUUUUGUGUUCUUCAGCUUUGCUACUCAAGACAGGGUUAAUGGCAGAAUAACAAGUAGUAUACCCAAGGCCGUUAGAAGACCUGGAUCUGUGCGUGCAGACACUUCCACUUCCACAAGCCAAGUAAUGAUAUUGAACACUGAGUGAUAAUUGUGAUUGAUCAUUUAAACAAGGCCAGAUGUCGACUUUAGGAACAUUUCCUGAGGACUUCGUAGCUGCUUCUGACUUUCUUCCCAGCAUUGUAUCAGGACCAACAGAACAAAAUGCAAUUAAGUUGGCCUUCAAAUAUUAGUAGAGCCACAAUCAUCUGAAAUUCACAAUAAUGUGUUGAAGAUAACACUCUGAUGUGGUUGCCACCAGUUCUUUGAAAGCAACAAAUAAUAUUCCCAGUAUUGGAGCUGAUUGAAAUGUGUGCACUGGAGAGAAAUCACUGUAGAUGCCCCAUCAGUUUUGACAGGGAUUUCAGCAUUGUUUUCUAUCGUAUGCUUCAACAUCUUCAUCUCAGUUUCUUUUGUGAAUAUUUUGCUAUUCUUGCUGCAUUAUGUUGUGCAUGUAACCAACUGCUUCUCUAUCCACCCCUUUACCCUUGUAAUUCUGUUGCUCCCUCUAUCAAAUAAAGGCCUCUUACAUUUGACU